AACGCGAAGAACCUUACCUGGGCUCGAACGGCUUAAGAACAUCUUUGGAAACAGAGACUUCCCGCAAGGGACUUGAGUCGAGGUGCUGCAUGGCUGUCGUCAGCUCGUGUCGUGAGAUGUUGGGUUAAGUCCCGCAACGAGCGCAACCCUUGUCCUGUGUUGCCACUCCCCUUAAAAGGAAGCACUCGCAGGAGACCGCCAGCGAUAAGCUGGAGGAAGGUGGGGAUGAUGUCAAGUCAUCAUGGCCUUUAUGUCCAGGGCUACACACGUGCUACAAUGGGCGGUACAAAGCGCUGCAAACCCGCGAGGGGGAGCUAAUCGCAAAAAACCGUUCUCAGUUCGGAUCGCAGGCUGCAACUCGCCUGCGUGAAGCUGGAAUCGCUAGUAAUGGCGUAUCAGAAUGAUGCCGUGAAUACGUUCCCGGGCCUUGUA
rnacentral:rRNA from 1 species